rnacentral:lncRNA from 1 species
CCCCACUGCCCCCUCCCCCCCGCCAGCUUGUCCCUCGUGGUGUCCCGCGCGCAAGCCCAACUCCCCAGGGCCGCGACGCACGCGACCGAGGAGCCCUUCAGCAGUGAAUUGAAACUCGGUGCCCAACAGCCCGACUCUAGACCCACAGAAACCAUUACGGCGCGGGCGCUGACCGCGGGGACUUGACCAGUAGGGAUCCAGUUAGAACUCAGGAAAGGCGCUUGAAUGCGCUUUUAACAAUAUUUAAAGCGGUUUCGACGAAUGCAUUGUGAAGACCAUUCCCAGUGAACUCUAUUGAAUGUCUAAUACACAAGGUAUUCCAGCUACUGGCCAGGCUUCAAUAAAAGGUUAGCUGCAUUUUUUUUCCUCCUAAGUAAGUCUUAUUUUUAACUGAGCAUUGACAGUAUCUUAAAAUGGUAACGUGGGCGUGGGCGUUGUGUGCAUAGCAGUCUAGCCGGUUGGGUACCCUGCUCCUGUACCUAGUUCACAGACUCGAGUGCAUUUUUUUUUGGCGAGAUUUCCAUCUUUGAAGAAACAAAAAAACAAAAACACCUGAACCAGCGUUCUCUUAUUCUUUAAGCUGUGGAAAUAAUUUCCAGUUUCUACAUUCUCGAUAUGCAUCCUUAUUAAAAAGAUAAUACGAAUGAAAGGCAGUGUGCUUAAAGUGUGCUUUGCAAAUACAUGUUAUGAAUGACUACGGUCACUGGGCAAAUUAUUUGUAGAAUGAUUAGCCUUUAGCUAGAAAAAAAAAAUCAUUGCAGCUCUUUUGGGCCUGGAUGGUUCUUUUUAAUGUUAAUGGAGGGGAAGUGAUUUAAAUAUGCAUGCUCUUAGCAGUCAGGAUCUGACUUAGUUGUUUUGAGAGAAAAAAAAAUCAAAAGGCAAGGUCUACUUUUUUUCUCUGGGAAUUGAAACCACAAUCAUCUUGAUACUAGAACAGUGUAAGAAAUGAACAUUUGUUCUUCACUUCAGAAUUCAAAUGAGUUUUGCCCAAGGAAUCUGGGAAAUAAGGCAAAUAAGUUGCUCAAUUUUCAAGUAGUCAUUCAAUAGAAAUAUACUCCAUCACUCGGCUUUCUUAUUCUCUGAUGGGGUAUUCUGUAUAGUCUCACUGUUUUCUCCUAAUGGGCAUAUGUAUCUUUGUGGACACUUGGAAGAGAGGUUUUCUUGUACUCUCUCAUUUCUAGAAUCUUUAUACUCUUUUUCCUGCAAGGUUCUCUGCUUUUAACAGAUUUCUGAGGCAACUAUAUUUGUGCUUUUUUCUUAUGUAGGAAGACCAGCGAAACUAGCUUACUGAGUUGUCGAUUUUAUCAGUAGAUAAAGAAACUUUGUUUAUUACAGUUUCAGGGAAGGUUUUUCAGGAUAUUUCUCAGUUAUUCUAAGGGCCAAAUUUUAUAUAUAAAAAAAAAAAAACUUCAUUAGGAAUGUCAGUUUCAGAUACCCUUUGUAUAGCCUGUGGCCUGCAAGCACGACAGGACUGAGCCUUACAUGUGUCCGAACAGGAAUUCAUAAGUCCCCAAAGUAAACGUCUCCAUGUAACGAUUCUUGACGUGUUUCUCUGAGAGUUGGCUUAUUUUGAUUAUCAAUUCUUUCUCACUGUCCAUUCCUAUUGAUUUAUCCUGCCAUAUCUCUUUGGGUUUGAUGAGCUCAACAUUUUUUGCUCUUUGAUAACAACUCAGGUUUUGGUUUGGGGUUUUUCAU